UCCUCUUUAGAUGUAUCUUGCAUUUCCGUUUUAGCCAAAGGAAAUAAAUCGAAACCAGUCUUUGGUUUCUUAAUGAUUCUUGCUGCAUCUGGUUGACAUGUAAAAUCUUCCUGUGUUCCUUUCAUGCAAAUAUCUGAGGGAACAGAAACUGGAAACCUGCAAUGCAAAAUUUUAAAGGUUUAGCAUAUAAAAAUAAGGUCUGCAAUUACAAUUGAAUUGCCUACCAUGAAACAGGUUCAGAUGCGUCAGAUGGUUGUGGACAGUGUUGAUAAUCAGAAUUGACUUCCAAAGAAAAACCCAAAGAACCAAACUUAGCCGUGUCAGUUAUUCCAAUUUGGUGUAAGGUCUUGCUAUCGUCACUAAUCUUCUUUCCUUGAAGAGCAAUACCAACUUGAAGCCCAUAAUGAAGCAGGUUAGUUAGGGCAUCCUCAGUUCUCCUCUGCCAAAAAAAUAUAUCAAUACUUGUAAGUUAUUUGUGAUCAUUAAGUCUCUUGAUAUAAACAAACAGGUUAUGCAGCAGCUACCUUUAGUUCGCCAAUAGUUGCAGAAUCAGGCAUAUUUAUAAUGACUUCAGGUACCAUGAAGGAUUUGAUACUGCAUUUCACUGGAAAAAAAUGUUAGAAAUGUGGUCUAAGAUGUAUUCAAUCAGAGCAUAAUCUGAA
rnacentral:lncRNA from 1 species